CAAACAUCCGCUCCAGGUCGCUUUCUUGAGGAAGGACCCCUUCAAUUAAGGCCAAGAAUUAAGGCAGACAAAGCCAUUCUAGACACACACUCUCAUUUCUACGUGGUGCAUAAACAGAAUUAUGACUUCCAUUGUCCUGGCCACCUUCCAAGUAGCUCUCCUCCUUUCCUGUGUGACAUAUCCAUCUCCUUCUGGUCAUGCAGCACCACAGAACUUCUCCAGGCACUGUUCAGCGUGGGCUGCCUCCAUCCUGGACUGGUUUUGCCCCUGUCUGCCUCGUUCCCAGGGACUGCUCUUUGCUGGGCAGGUUACUCACUGCUCUUGGCACUCUCUGACAUGCUCAGAUGUGGAGGGCUCUGCUCUCCCCUGUCCUCCACAGGCAACCCAGCCAAAAUCCAGCAGCGCCAUCCAAACCCUCCAAACCUUCCCGGUUUGCUGCUCUCACGGAUCUCAUCUGUCUCCUCCUCUCUGGAUUCGCCUGCCUCAGAGAGGUCACCCUGGCCUUUUCUGGUGGUUUUUUUUUGCUCACUGCUGAAAUGACAUAAAAUUGUGGCUGUAUUCACGUGAUGAGGACACUCACUGGGGUUUGGCUCCGGCUGAAAGGUUUGCAUAUCACGAAAGAAGUGUCUGGCAACAUUUUGAAGUAAUUAAAGAUCAGUGGAUAUUGGUAAUUCCUAUCCCCAAGAAAACAGUGUUUGCUGGAGCCUGACAAGUGAGUCGGAGAGGAGGAUGGAACAUCAGCAAGGGAAGAAUCUAAGAAUUUGUAUUACUUGAAAAAGGAUGAAAAGUGCAAGGUUUAUCACAAGUCAACCCUACAAAAUAUGGAAAGAAGGAUUUUGUCAGUGAUGUGCACUGAUAUAAUUUUAAGAGAGUUAUUAUAAAUGUGAUAAUAUCAAUUGCUUUCAGAAAAAGACCCAUAUCCAGGUGCCAUAUUAUAAGUUGGAUCAUUCAUCUUCCAGCUACCUGCUUUAGGAAUCAAGUUUUCAUGGCAGGAGGAAAAAUAGAAAAUGUUGUUUGUGACCAUUCCAAAGUAUCAGAAAAUAGAAGUAAAAAUAUCAUUUUCUAAGUUAAUUUUGUAUUUUACAAAAAAGAGUUUGCACAGAAUCUAGUGGAAAAAAAGGUGCAAUUUUUAGCAGAACUGAGCAACAUGUAUGGUAUAAAUUGAU
rnacentral:lncRNA from 1 species